UACGGGGGGAGCAAGCGUUGUUCGGAUUUACUGGGCGUAAAGGGCGCGUAGGCGGCCGCCGCAAGUCGACUGUGAAAUCUCCGGGCUUAACCCGGAAAGGUCAGCCGAUACUGCGGGGCUAGAGUGCAGAAGGGGCAACUGGAAUUCUCGGUGUAGCGGUGAAAUGCGUAGAUAUCGAGAGGAACACCUGCGGCGAAGGCGGGUUGCUGGGCUGACACUGACGCUGAGGCGCGAAAGCUAGGGGAGCGAACGGG
rnacentral:rRNA from 1 species